rnacentral:rRNA from 1 species
AAAUAGAUACCCGGGUAGUCCACGCCGUAAACGAUGAGUGCUAAGUGUUAGAGGGUUUCCGCCCUUUAGUGCUGCAGCUAACGCAUUAAGCACUCCGCCUGGGGAGUACGGCCGCAAGGCUGAAACUCAAAGGAAUUGACGGGGGCCCGCACAAGCGGUGGAGCAUGUGGUUUAAUUCGAAGCAACGCGAAGAACCUUACCAGGUCUUGACAUCCUCUGCCAACCCUAGAGAUAGGGCGUUCCCCCUUCGGGGGACAGAGUGACAGGUGGUGCACGGUUGUCGUCAGCUCGUGUCGUGAGAUGUUGGGUUAAGUCCCGCAACGAGCGCAACCCUUGAUCUUAGUUGCCAGCAUUCAGUUGGGCACUCUAAGGUGACUGCCGGUGACAAACCGGAGGAAGGUGGGGAUGACGUCAAAUCAUCAUGCCCCUUAUGACCUGGGCUACACACGUGCUAACAAUGGAUGGUACAAAGACGCUGCGAACCCGCGAGGGUAAGCCAAUCGUCAAUAAACGCCUAUUCUCGAGUUCGGAUUGUACGCUGAACC